UACGUAGGAAGCAAGCGUUGUCCGGAAUCACUGGGCGUAAAGCGCGUGUAGGCGGUACGGCAAGUCUGCUGUGAAAGCCCUCGGCUUAACCGGGGGAGGUCGGUGGAAACUGCCGCACUGGAGGACGGUAGAGGGGGGUGGAAUUCCCGGUGUAGUGGCGAAAUGCGUAGAGAUCGGGAGGAACACCUGUGGCGAAGGCGGCCCCCUGGGCCGGCCCUGACGCUGAGACGCGAAAGCGCGGGGAGCGAACGGG
rnacentral:rRNA from 1 species